rnacentral:lncRNA from 1 species
UUUCGGUGCGCAUAGGCGCGAAAACGGAACCCGAAAGGCUAACUUGGGCCGUGAACUAAAUCCGGCAUUAGCGAGGAUGGAAAGAUGAUGAAAACAUGUUUGAAAAUAUGUUUGGAGAGUCUCGGUUCGAUUUGGAAUGAAUCGGAGGUCAAACGAACGAAAACGAGCGAAAACGGAGCGAAAACGGACGAAGCUGAAAAUUGGCUAAGUCUAGGCUGGAGGUCUCUCUGGGACCGGUCCCAGGCAGAGAGACCGGUCUCUAAGGGACCAGUCCCUCAUGCAGAGACCGGUCCCCGAACCCCGAAAAUGCCCAGUUCGGGCUGUUGCAAGAGAGGCAUUGUUGAGGGACUUAUAUGCAAUUGUGGCAUGGGUUAAGUGUAUAGAGAGGGUUAGAACACCUCUCU